CUAACACCUCGCAACUGGAACGCGGCGCGGCCAAGCCGUUAAACCCCCAACUUCUGAAUGUUGACCUCGGAUCAGGUAGGAAUACCCGCUGAACUUAAGCAUAU
rnacentral:rRNA from 1 species